UAGACGAGUAUAUGACUGUAAAGUACCGGUAUGUACAUACAAAAUAUACUCUGUUGUCUGGUGAAGUAUAUCACUAUAUCGUGUAUAUUUCGCAAUACCGAGGCUUAGUGAAGACUUCCUUGGUAUUCAUGGCUUCAAGCAAACUGGUUCAAAUGCUAACUGAUUGCAAGCGUAUUUGGUCUUGGAGUAUACGAGUUAAACACUCCAGUAAAGUUCACUCAAAACUCCAUGCAUACAAUAUAACUGGCGCACAUGUAUAAACUCCUCUUAGAAACAGUUUAACAGAUAAUAACAAGUUUUAUAGUGCCUAAUAGUAUAUCACUUGUGGGACCUUUAUGGAUUUGAAAAGAGCGUAAAAAGUU